rnacentral:rRNA from 1 species
UACGGAGGGUGCAAGCGUUAUCCGGAUUUACUGGGAUUAAAGGGUGUGCAGGCGGAUAUGUAAGUCAGCGGUGAAAUCUCCGGGCUUAACCCGGAAACUGCCGUUGAUACUAUAUAUCUUGAAUGCUGUGGAGGUAAGCAGAAUAUGUCAUGUAGCGGUGAAAUGCUUAGAGAUGACAUAGAAUACCUAUUGCGAAGGCAGCUUACUACGCAGAUAUUGACGCUCAUGCACGAAAGCGUGGGGAUCAAACAGG